GAUGAACGCUGGCGGCGUGCCUAAUACAUGCAAGUCGAGCGAACUGAUUAGAAGCUUGCUUCUAAGACGUUAGCGGCGGACGGGUGAGUAACACGUGGGCAACCUGCCUGUAAGACUGGGAUAACUUCGGGAAACCGAAGCUAAUACCGGAUAGGAUCUUCUCCUUCAUGGGAGAUGAUUGAAAGAUGGUUUCGGCUAUCACUUACAGAUGGGCCCGCGGUGCAUUAGCUAGUUGGUGAGGUAACGACUCACCAAGGCAACGAUGCAUAGCCGACCUGAGAGGGUGAUCGGCCACACUGGGACUGAGACACGGCCCAGACUCCUACGGGAGGCAGCAGUAGGGAAUCUUCCGCAAUGGACGAAAGUCUGACGGAGCAACGCCGCGUGAGUGAUGAAGGCUUUCGGGUCGUAAAACUCCGUUGUUAGGGAAGAACAAGUACGAGAGUAACUGCUCGUACCUUGACGGUACCUAACCAGAAAGCCACGGCUAACUACGUGCCAGCAGCCGCAGUAACAC
rnacentral:rRNA from 1 species